GGAUGAGUUUAUGGCGCAUUAGUUAGUUGGUGGGGUAACGGCCUACCAGACGAUGAUGCGUAGCCGACCUGAGAGGGUGACCGGCCACACUGGGACUGAGACACGGCCCAGACUCCUACGGGAGGCAGCAGUAGGGAAUUUUCGGCAAUGGGCGCAAGCCUGACCGAGCAACGCCGCGUGAGUGAUUAAGGCCUUCGGGUUGUAAAGCUCUGUUGUAAGGGAAGAACAUUCAGGAUAGGAAAUGAUCUUGAACUGACGGUACCUUACCAGAAAGCCACGGCUAACUACGUGCCAGCAGCCGCGGUAAUACGUAGGUGGCAAGCGUUAUCCGGAAUUAUUGGGCGUAAAGGGUGCGUAGGCGGUUUAUUAAGUCUAUGGUGAAAGUGCGGGGCUCAACCCCGUAUGGCCAUAGAAACUGGUAGACUUGAGUGCAGGAGAGGGCAAUGGAAUUCCAUGUGUAGCGGUAAAAUGCGUAGAUAUAUGGAGGAACACCAGUGGCGAAGGCGGUUGCCUGGCCUGUAACUGACGCUGAAGCACGAAAGCGUGGGGAGCAAAUAGGAUUAGAUACCCUAGUAGUCCACGCCGUAAACGAUGAAUACUAAGUGUUGGAGAAAUUCAGUGCUGCAGUAACGCAAUAA
rnacentral:rRNA from 1 species